rnacentral:lncRNA from 1 species
GUUAAAUCUUCCCAUUGCUAAAUGAAGAUUCAAGGUUACAACCUACAGGCAACUGACCACCUCAGAAAGUACCAGUGAGGCUCUGGGGCAGGCAGAGCCAGUGGGAGAUUUAGUACUGAGCUUAAAACACAGGUUUUAGUUUGGAAACUGGGUUAGGUAAGUUGAAAUGUGUUGUUAACCUACCAUGUCCUCUCUGGGGUGUCAACCCUCAGCCCUCUUCUCUACCUGCAAUACUGCAUCCCUGACCAUCUCUGGGCCCUUUUGUGUUUGGGGAGCACAUUUGCAAGGCUUCUGCCUUAUUCAGGCUGAUUGCAAGAGCAGCCCGCUCUUCCUGGGUAGCAACCCCUCUUCUGAAAUGAAUUAACCAGAGUAUCCAGGCAAAGGCACACAGCCAGGGCCCCAUUCAGGUGGUGCUGGGCAUUUAUCUCCCAGCAUCAGCCCUGGCCUCUAGAGUCUAUUAAGUCUGGGCUUUGCAGGUGCAUCUUUUGUCCCCUAUAAAGCUCUCCACUUGAGCCCCCUUGCUCCUCUAUCACCUCCCCCCUGGAGAGAUGGUCUGAAUCUGUCUGAACAACCCAGCAAGCCACAAAACAAAGUGCAUUAGCAAGACAAAGCUUACCAGGCUCCUCUCUCCCUCCCUUUCACCCUCCUCCCCACCUCUCCAUCUCUCUUCUCUAAUAGCUAUGUUUAUUUUUUUUUAUAUAUUAAAUGGAAAAAUAAAAAGGAGACAUUCUGCUGCAACCUUGGCUCCAUCUUCUUUGAAUAAUAACACAUACAUAGCCCCAGAAAAACUCAGAAUUCAGCAAAAGCACGGGAGCUGGGUUCUGUGGGUGGGUAUAGACCUGCACACACGUGCACUACCCAAAGGGCAGGUGCUAAUAUCAGGUGCAAAGCAAGAAGUUGAGGAAAAUAUGUCUAUUAAUGUGUCUUCAAAGAGCUUAUCAAAUUAGAAUGCCUCUUUACUUUAAAAUGGCAUGAUCACUCUUCCAGCUUGCCUUUUAAAAUUAUAGCUGCAAUUCUUAAGGGUUAUUUGUUGCCCAGACAUUUAAGACUUGGUUUUAAAAAUUAAUUUAUAGCAAUCUUUAUUAUCUUGAAUUAAGUAUUCUGGGGACAUGAAUCAGACCCAGCUAGAAUAGGGGUGCUCUCCCCAUUUUUGGUCAUCCAAGUUAAUGUGCUUAAAAAUAAAUAAAUAAAUGAGUAUGGAAGUAACUGUUGCCCAUUUGCCAGAUCAAGCAUAGGGUCACUUCUACAGGAUUUUGGAAAACAGUGGACACUUUCAUGUACUUUUCUUUUGAGGCUUGCAUCAUCCCUGUGAGUUAGUUAUUGUUAUCGCCAUUUUAUAGAUCAAUAUCAAGUGACUCACAGCUAUUCAAUGGCAGAGUAGGGACUCAAAUCCAGGUUAUAGGACUGAAAGUCCCUCAGUCCCUAAAUGCUGAUCUCACAGAAGUGAAGCAGAAUAGUGGCUGCUAGAGGCUGGGAAAGGUGUGGAGAGAGGAUUGCUGAUGGGUACAGGGGUAUAGUUGGAGAGGAGGAAUAGCACAGUAGGCUAACUAGGGUUGAUAUCAAUUAAUUGAAUAUUACAAAAUAGCUAGUAGAGAGGAUAUUGAAUAAUACAAAUCCUCAAUACAAAUAAUGGUAAAUGUUUGAGGUGAUGGAUGUGCCAAUUACCCUGAUCUGAUCAGUGCACAAUGUAUAACCUAUAUUGAAAUGUCACUCUGUACUCCAUAAAUAUUUUGCAUCAUUUAAAAUUUUUCUAAAAAUUAAAUGCCCCUUUUCAGAUGGUCUUCCUAAUAAAUAGGCAUUUCCUUCUAGUUGCCUUUUCAUAAAAACAAUACCUAGCCUCAAUAUAAUUUGAACAAAAAGAUGAAUUUUUUCUUUUUUUUUUGCAUUCUUUUUCCGGCCCUGCAGUUUCCCAGGGUCACCUCCAGCUACAUGCCUAAGAGUUCUCAUUUUCUGAAGAUGAACUCAUACACAACCUCUACUUAGCAACACCCUCUGGUCCUGACUGCACAAAGGAACACGUGGAGAUCUUUGUAAAACACUGAGCCCUAGGACAAAUAUUAAUACAACUCCAGUCAUAGGAGACACCUAGAACAGUCAAAUUCAAAGAGAUGGAAAGUACAUGAAGGUUAGCAGAGGUUCAGGAAGGAGAGUGCCACUGAACUGUACACUUAAAAGUGUUUGAAAUGGUAAAAUUUGGAUCAUACAUGUUUUGCUAAAGCAAAAAAAAAAAAUUAAAAAGCCUGGCCCAAACAUGACGGAUUAAUUCUGAAUCUCCAGGAGUGCCUAUGAGGCCUUAGAAUUUGUUUUUUAAAGUUCUCCAGGUUACUCCUGCCCUGCAGCCAGCUUUAAAGCCCUGCUUUGUAGCACACAGACACACCAGAAAGAGGGUAAGGAGACAGACUCAUCUCAGAGCCAGACCAGGUG